AGGGUGUGUUCAGGGCAAAGGGAUUAAAAACUGACUCCUCUGUUUGCAACAUGCCCAACAGAAAUCUGGAGCCGCUGUGAUAAGAAGCACAAAAGUGGUUUUGCUUUGACCAAAUAUUCUACACAG
ensembl:snoRNA LOC120099522 small nucleolar RNA SNORA11